rnacentral:rRNA from 1 species
CAGCAGCCACGGUAAUACGUAGGUGGCAAGCGUUGUCCGGAAUUAUUGGGCGUAAAGGGCUCGCAGGCGGUUUCUUAAGUCUGAUGUGAAAGCCCCCGGCCCAACCGGGGAGGGUCAUUGGAAACUGGGAAACUUGAGUGCAGAAGAGGAGAGUGGAAUUCCACGUGCAGCGGUGAAAUGCGUAGAGAUGUGGAGGAACACCAGUGGCGAAGGCGACUCUCUGGUCUGUAACUGACGCUGAGGAGCGAAAGCGUGGGGAGCGAACAGGAUUAGAUACCCGCGUAGUCCCUGUCUCUUAUAC